UCCUGCUUUCAGUUGCUACCGGGUCAUGCCGAGCACUCUGAAAGGACUGCCCAGGAUAACGGGGAGGAAGGUGGGGAUGACGUCAAGUCAGCAUGGCCUUUAUGCCUGGCCCUCU
rnacentral:rRNA from 1 species